GAUGAAGAACGUAGCGAAAUGCGAUAAGUAAUGUGAAUUGCAGAAUUCAGUGAAUCAUCGAAUCUUUGAACGCACAUUGCGCCCGCCAGUAUUCUGGCGGGCAUGCCUGUUCGAGCGUCAUUUGAACCAUCAAGCCCCCGGCUUGUGUUGGGGACCUGCGGCUGCCGCAGGCCCUGAAAUGCAGUGGCGGGCUCGCUGUCACUCCGAGCGUAGUAGUUACAUCUCGCUCUGGGCGUGCUGCGGGUUCCGGCCGUUAAAAGCCUUAUUUACCCAAGGUUGACCUCGGAUCAGGUAGGAAGACCCGCUGAACUUAAGCAUAUCAAUAAGCGGAGGA
rnacentral:misc_RNA from 1 species